rnacentral:rRNA from 1 species
AUUGAACGCUGGCGGCAGGCCUAACACAUGCAAGUCGAGCGGAUGACGGGAGCUUGCUCCUUGAUUCAGCGGCGGACGGGUGAGUAAUGCCUAGGAAUCUGCCUGGUAGUGGGGGACAACGUUUCGAAAGGAACGCUAAUACCGCAUACGUCCUACGGGAGAAAGCAGGGGACCUUCGGGCCUUGCGCUAUCAGAUGAGCCUAGGUCGGAUUAGCUAGUAGGUGAGGUAAUGGCUCACCUAGGCGACGAUCCGUAACUGGUCUGAGAGGAUGAUCAGUCACACUGGAGCUGAGACACGGUCCAGACUCCUACGGGAGGCAGCAGUGGGGAAUAUUGGACAAUGGGCGAAAGCCUGAUCCAGCCAUGCCGCGUGUGUGAAGAAGGUCUUCGGAUUGUAAAGCACUUUAAGUUGGGAGGAAGGGUUGUACGUUAAUACCGUGCAAUUUUGACGUUACCGACAGAAUAAGCACCGGCUAACUCUGUGCCAGCAGCCGCGGUAACAC